UACGGAGGGGGCUAGCGUUGUUCGGAAUUACUGGGCGUAAAGCGCACGUAGGCGGCUUUGUAAGUUAGAGGUGAAAGCCCGGGGCUCAACUCCGGAACUGCCUUUAAGACUGCAUCGCUAGAAUUGUGGAGAGGUAAGUGGAAUUCCGAGUGUAGAGGUGAAAUUCGUAGAUAUUCGGAAGAACACCAGUGGCGAAGGCGACUUACUGGACACAUAUUGACGCUUAGGUGCGAAAGCGUGGGGAGCAAACAGG
rnacentral:rRNA from 1 species